GUGGGGAAUAUUGCGCAAUGGGGGAAACCCUGACGCAGCGACGCCGCGUGAGCGAAGAAGGCCUUAGGGUUGUAAAGCUCUGUUUUAAGGGACGAAUGUCGUGGGGAGUAAUAUGCUCUGCGAAUGACGGUACCUUAAGAGGAAGCCCCGGCUAACUACGUGCCAGCAGCCGCGGUAAGACGUAGGGGGCGAGCGUUGUCCGGAAUUACUGGUCGUAAAGAGCACGUAGGCGGGAACUUAAGUCAGGUGUGAAAGACCGGGGCUCAACUCUGGGGUUGCACUUGAAACUGGGUUUCUUGAGGGCAGGAGAGGAAAGCAGAAUUCCUGGUGUAGCGGUGAAAUGCGUAGAAAUCAGGAGGAAUACCAGUGGCGAAGGCGGCUUUCUGGACUGACCCUGACGCUGAGGUGCGAAAGCGUGGGUAGCAAACAGGAUUAGAAACCCUGGUAGUCC
rnacentral:rRNA from 1 species